CUCACAAGGACAAGUGAGCAGGUGCUGCAUGGUUGUCGUCAGCAUGUGUUAUGAAAUGCACGCUUAAAUGCGGUAACAUGCGCAACCCCUAUCCUAUGUUUUAAUUGUCAUAGGGGACUGCCUGGGAUGACCAGGAGGAAGGUGGGGAUGACGCCAAAUCAGCAUGGCCCUUUGAUGCCCUGGGCUGCACACGUGGUACAAUGGAGCUGACAAUGGGUUGCUAAACGGCAACGCGGAGCUAAUCCCAUCAAACAGCUUCUCAGUUCGGAUUGAGGUCUGCAACUCGACCUCAUGAAGCUGGAAUCGCUAGUAAUCGCCAAUCAGCUAUGUGGCGAUGAAUAUGUUCCUGAAGCUUGUACUCACCGCCCGUCACAUUAGGGGAGCCGGCGGUAGCCGAAAUUCCUCGUAAGAGGGCCUAAGCUAAAGUCGGUAACAAGAAUGAAGUCGUAACAAGGUA
rnacentral:rRNA from 1 species